rnacentral:rRNA from 1 species
UACCUGCAGUCGAGCGGAAACGAGUUAUCUGAACCUUCGGGGAACGAUAACGGCGUCGAGCGGCGGACGGGUGAGUAAUGCCUAGGAAAUUGCCCUGAUGUGGGGGAUAACCAUUGGAAACGAUGGCUAAUACCGCAUGAUGCCUACGGGCCAAAGAGGGGGACCUUCGGGCCUCUCGCGUCAGGAUAUGCCUAGGUGGGAUUAGCUAGUUGGUGAGGUAAGGGCUCACCAAGGCGACGAUCCCUAGCUGGUCUGAGAGGAUGAUCAGCCACACUGGAACUGAGACACGGUCCAGACUCCUACGGGAGGCAGCAGUGGGGAAUAUUGCACAAUGGGCGCAAGCCUGAUGCAGCCAUGCCGCGUGUAUGAAGAAGGCCUUCGGGUUGUAAAGUACUUUCAGUCGUGAGGAAGGCGGCGUCGUUAAUAGCGGCGUUGUUUGACGUUAGCGACAGAAGAAGCACCGGCUAACUCCGUGCCAGCAGCCGCGGUAAUACGGAGGGUGCGAGCGUUAAUCGGAAUUACUGGGCGUAAAGCGCAUGCACGUGGUUUGUUAAGUCAGAUGUGAAAGCCCGGGGCUCAACCUCGGAAUAGCAUUUGAAACUGGCAGACUACAGUACU